rnacentral:misc_RNA from 1 species
UUUCUGACCUGGCGGUGGACUUGGACUUGGGUGUCUGCCGCUCACACGGCUCGCCUUAAAGACGUUAGUGGGACAAGUUGCCUAUGGCUUGACGUAAUAAGUUUCGUCGGACCUGGUGACUUACGCCCGCUCACAACACGCCCUCGGGCAACUACUUUAUGCUAGACCUCAAAUCAGGUAGGACUACCCGCUGAACUUAA